UGAAAGCACAUCGUUGAAAUUCCUUAAUAAUAAAUUUGUUACUAUUCUAUUAUCUUAUUGGAUUAAAUUUGUUACUACUUAAACUACAAGAUUUGAAUAGAAAACAUAAAUUAGAGGACAAAGGCAUAGUUGUUACGUACCGACGGAUAAGUCUGUAUAUGAGACAAAUAAUCUAAAAGCUAACUCCAACAAAAUACCGAGUUUGCUCGUAGAUGUCCGAAAAGAUUUCCGUCCGUACCAACUGCGGUGGGCCGGGCACGUAGCCACAAUGUCGGACAGUAAUUCGGUGAAAAUGAUUCUCGACAACGAUCCGACGGGAACAAGAAGGCGAGGUGCACAGCGAGCAAGGUGAAUCGAUCAGGUGGAGGACGAUUUGCGGACCCUCCGCUGACCGCGUGGUUGGUGUCGUGCAGCCAUAAACCGUGCUGAAUGGAGAAGACUUCUAUGCACUGCACAUUCCUUAGUCUUGUAAUAAAUAAUA